rnacentral:rRNA from 1 species
AGUGAAUAGAUACCCCGGUAGUCCUAGCCGUAAACGAUACUCGCUAGGUGUCGACCACGGUGCGACCGUUGUCGGUGCCGUAGGGAAAGCCGUGAAGCGAGCCACCUGGGAAGUACGGCCGCAAGGCUGAAACUUAAAGGAAUUGGCGGGGGAGCACCACAACGGGUGGAGCUUGCGGUUUAAUUGGAUUCAACGCCGGAAAUCUUACCGGGACCGACAGCAACAUGAAGGCCAGGCUGAAGACUUUGCCGGAUUAGCUGAGAGGUGGUGCAUGGCCGUCGUCAGUUCGUACUGUGAAAGCAUCCUGUUAAGUCAGGCAACGAGCGAGACCCACGCCCACAGUUGCCAGCGUACUCUCUGGAGUGACGGGUACACUGUGGGGACCGCCGCUGCUAAAGCGGAGGAAGGAAUGGGCAACGGUAGGUCAGUAUGCCCCGAAUAUCCCGGGCUACACGCGAGCUACAAUGGUUGGUACAAUGGGUAUCUACCCCGAAAGGGGAUGGAAAUCUCCUAAAGCCAAUCUUAGUUCGGAUUGAGGGCUGCAACUCGCCCUC